CUCCAUAUUUAAGACAUGAACUGGUCCCUUUCCCCUUGGGGACCUGGUGUGCAAUGGUUGCAAACAGCAGCCUCCUUGGCAGUGUAUCCAGCCUGUUACCUGUAUGGGUUGCCCUAAGGGACCUUGGAGACAAUU
rnacentral:snoRNA from 1 species